rnacentral:rRNA from 1 species
AUUGAACGCUGGCGGCAUGCCUUACACAUGCAAGUCGAACGGUAACGGGCCUUCGGGUGCCGACGAGUGGCGCACGGGUGAGUAAUACAUCGGAACGUGCCCGAUCGUGGGGGAUAACGAGGCGAAAGCUUUGCUAAUACCGCAUACGAUCUACGGAUGAAAGCAGGGGACCGCAAGGCCUUGCGCGGACGGAGCGGCCGAUGGCGGAUUAGGUAGUUGGUGGGAUAAAAGCUUACCAAGCCGACGAUCUGUAGCUGGUCUGAGAGGAUGAUCAGCCACACUGGGACUGAGACACGGCCCAGACUCCUACGGGAGGCAGCAGUGGGGAAUUUUGGACAAAGGGCGCAAGCCUGAUCCAGCCAUGCCGCGUGCAGGAUGAAGGCCUUCGGGUUGUAAACUGCUUUUGUACGGAACGAAAAGCCUUCUUUUAAUACAGGAGGGUCAUGACGGUACCGUAAGAAUAAGCACCGGCUAACUACGUG